rnacentral:rRNA from 1 species
AGAGUUUGAUCAUGGCUCAGGAUGCACGCUGGCGGCGUGCCUAAUACAUGCAAGUCGAACGCUUUGUGCUGAAUUGAUAUGACGAGCUUGCUCUGAUUUGAUUUUUUGAUUUCAAAGAGUGGCGAACGGGUGAGUAACACGUGGGUAACCUACCUCUUAGCAGGGGAUAACAUUUGGAAACAAGUGCUAAUACCGUAUAAUACCAACAACCGCAUGGUUGUUGGUUGAAAGAUGGUUCUGCUAUCACUAAGAGAUGGACCCGCGGUGCAUUAGCUAGUUGGUAAGGUAAUGGCUUACCAAGGCAAUGAUGCAUAGCCGAGUUGAGAGACUGAUCGGCCACAAUGGGACUGAGACACGGCCCAUACUCCUACGGGAGGCAGCAGUAGGGAAUCUUCCACAAUGGGCGCAAGCCUGAUGGAGCAACGCCGCGUGUGUGAUGAAGGGUUUCGGCUCGUAAAACACUGUUAUAAGAGAAGAACGGCACUGAGAGUAACUGUUCAGUGUGUGACGGUAUCUUACCAGAAAGGAACGGCUAAAUACGUGCCAGCAGCCGCGGUAAUACGUAUGUUCCAAGCGUUAUCCGGAUUUAUUGGGCGUAAAGCGAGCGCAGACGGUUAUUUAAGUCUGAAGUGAAAGCCCUCAGCUCAACUGAGGAAUUGCUUUGGAAACUGGAUGACUUGAGUGCAGUAGAGGAAAGUGGAACUCCAUGUGUAGCGGUGAAAUGCGUAGAUAUAUGGAAGAACACCAGUGGCGAAGGCGGCUUUCUGGACUGUAACUGACGUUGAGGCUCGAAAGUGUGGGUAGCAAACAGGAUUAGAUACCCUGGUAGUCCACACCGUAAACGAUGAGUGCUAGAUGUUCGAGGGUUUCCGC